ensembl:lncRNA
GUGGCAUCACUCGUGUGGUUGCAACUGAUACCAGGCUGCAGAGGCUAGAGGGGAAACAGGAUGGGAGGAACUAGAAACAGUGAAGGCAGACAAAUUUUCCAAGUAGUUUAACUCUGAAAAUUAGGAGGGAAUUUUGCAGAGUGGGCAUUUUUUUUGUGUCGGUGUGAGUGUUUGUCAUGAAACAUGAGAAACGCUUGAGCCCGUUUACAUGCGAAAGCAGGAGGUCCGUGGACAGGCGUGGUUUCAUUCAUUUACUUCUGACUUCAAUGUGUCCUUUUUUUAUGGAGCCCACCACUACUUACUAAAUACCCACUGUACCGGUUCUUGAAAGUGACAAAGAGCAGGGAAUUAACUAGACACAGUCUCUGCCCUCUUGCAGUUUGCAGUUUAUUGGGGAAGAGAGGCAUCGAAGACCUAGGUGACAGAAAGAAUGACACUGGGGGUGGAGGGCAGUGGCGGGUGUUGAAGCAAAGUUCAAAUGGAAGAAGUAGCCUCGGCAAGAGGGAUCUUUCCCUACAAUGAGACCAUCCUGAUGUCCCUUCCUAACAAAAGGGAUCAAAGUGACAGAUAGGAGUUCCUGUCAUGGCUCAGGAUCGAACCUGCAUCCUCCUGGAUACUCAUCAGAUUCACUUCCACUGAGCCAUGAUGGGAACUCCCCCUCACCCCGGAACUACUACAUGCCACAAGUGUGACCCCCCAAAAAAAUGAAUUGAAGCACAUUUUCUCUGUCACUCUCUUGCAUUCUCAUAGGCUUUCUUGAGUGGAGAAGAAAGGGAUGGAAUGAGUCAGCACCCCCACAUUUACAUAGGGGUGUGUGUCUCACAGAGACAUAAAUAUAUUUAUUUAUAUGUCACUGGCUGUGUUCGGGAGGGAGAACAAAUUGAAAGUAGAGAAUCACUAAUAUAAUGCAACCCCUUCAUUUCUCAGGUGUGAACACUGAGGCCCACAGAGGUGAUGUGAUUUGUCCAAAGUCAUGCAACUAGUGGCAGAGCCAGGCCUAGAAGCCAGGUGUCCUGGCUCCCAAGACAUUCCACUGCCUGAGGAAUGGAACAGGUAGUAUCACUCCCACUGGGGGCCGUGGGUCAGUGCGUUCAGCCCAGAGCUGCCUGGGGUUCCAACUAAGGAAACCAGAGGAAAGCGUCAACUCCAUAUUCUCACAAUUGAAUGACUCAGGGAUGAAACCAAAAUUGGGUAAGAAGGCGAGGUUUGAACAAAUGUGACCCUUCUGAUUCCAGGACAGAGGCCAGUGAACCGUUGCUCCCACGGCAGCAGUCACCUUCUCAAGGUGGAUCGAGCUGGCCCUGUCAUGUCCAAGUUCAAACAGCUUGGUAGCGAGUCACCUUCUGGCCGUUCUGACACCUGUACUCUCUCCAGUGCAAUUUGUGGUGUUGGGAAAAAUCAGUGGCCCCUUGCAGAGGACAGAUGGGGCGCUGGGGAAAAAGGGAGUCGGGAAGAUCAGUUAGGAGGCGUCCAUAGAAACCCAGGAGGGGAGUUCCUGUCCGUGGCACAGUGGUUCACGAAUCCGACUAGGGACCAUGAGGUUGCGGGUUCGGUCCCUGCCUUUGCUCAGUGGGUUAACGAUCUGGCAUUGCCGUGAGCUGUGGUGUAGGUUGCAGAUGCAGCUUCAAUCCCGCAUUGCUGUGGCUCGCGUAGGCUGGCAGCUACAGCUCCGAUUCGACCCCUAGCCUGGGAACCUCCAUACGCUGCUGGAGCGGCCCAAGAAAUGGCAAAAAGAGGAAAAAAAAAAAAAAA